rnacentral:rRNA from 1 species
UGAGUAACACGUGAGUAACCUGCCCUGGACUCUGGGAUAACCCCGAGAAAUCGGAGCUAAUACCGGAUAGGACCUUUCCCUGCAUGGGGUUUGGUGGAAAGUUUUUCGGUUUGGGAUGGACUCGCGGCCUAUCAGCUUGUUGGUGAGGUAAUGGCUCACCAAGGCGUCGACGGGUAGCCGGCCUGAGAGGGUGACCGGCCACACUGGGACUGAGACACGGCCCAGACUCCUACGGGAGGCAGCAGUGGGGAAUAUUGCACAAUGGGCGCAAGCCUGAUGCAGCAACGCCGCGUGCGGGAUGACGGCCUUCGGGUUGUAAACCGCUUUUAGUAAGGAAGAAGGGGAGCUUGCUCCUUGACGGUACUUGCAGAAAAAGGACCGGCUAACUACGUGCCAGCAGCCGCGGUAAUACGUAGGGUCCGAGCGUUGUCCGGAAUUAUUGGGCGUAAAGAGCUCGUAGGCGGUUUGUCGCGUCUGCUGUGAAAUCCCGAGGCUCAACCUCGGGCCUGCAGUGGGUACGGGCAGACUUGAGUGGUGUAGGGGAGACUGGAAUUCCUGGUGUAGCGGUGGAAUGCGCAGAUAUCAGGAGGAACACCGAUGGCGAAGGCAGGUCUCUGGGCACUUACUGACGCUGAGGAGCGAAAGCGUGGGGAGCGAACAGGAUUAGAUACCCUGGUAGUCCACGCCGUAAACGUUGGGCGCUAGAUGUGGGGACCUUUCCACGGUUUCCGUGUCGUAGCUAACGCAUUAAGCGCCCCGCCUGGGGAGUACGGCCGCAAGGCUAAAACUCAAAGGAAUUGACGGGGGCCCGCACAAGCGGCGGAGCAUGCGGAUUAAUUCGAUGCAACGCGAAGAACCUUACCAAGGCUUGACAUGACCGAGAACGCCCUAGAAAUAGGGAACUCUUUGGACACUCGGUUACAGGUGGUGCAUGGUUGUCGUCAGCUCGUGUCGUGAGAUGUUGGGUUAAGUCCCGCAACGAGCGCAACCCUCGUCGCAUGUUGCCAGCACGUUAUGGUGGGGACUCAUGUGAGACUGCCGGGGUCAACUCGGAGGAAGGUGGGGAUGACGUCAAAUCAUCAUGCCCCUUAUGUCUUGGGCUUCACGCAUGCUACAAUGGCCGGUACAAAGGGCUGCGAUGUCGUAAGGCGGAGCGAAUCCCAAAAAGCCGGUCUCAGUUCGGAUUGAGGUCUGCAACUCGACCUCAUGAAGUCGGAGUCGCUAGUAAUCGCAGAUCAGCAACGCUGCGGUGAAUACGUUCCCGGGCCUUGUACA